CUACGGGCCGCACCAGUGGGGAAUAUUGCACAAUGGAGGAAACUCUGAUGCAGCAACGCCGCGUGGAGGAUGACGCAUUUCGGUGUGUAAACUCCUUUUAUAUGGGAAGAUAAUGACGGUACCAUAUGAAUAAGCACCGGCUAACUCCGUGCCAGCAGCCGCGGUAAUACGGAGGGUGCAAGCGUUACUCGGAAUCACUGGGCGUAAAGCGCGCGCAGGCGGCUAGAUAAGUUGGAAGUGAAAUCCUAUGGCUCAACCAUAGAACUGCUUCCAAAACUGUUUAGCUAGAGUCUGGGAGGGGAAGAUGGAAUUAGUAGUGUAGGGGUAAAAUCCGUAGAGAUUACUAGGAAUACCAAAAGCGAAGGCGAUCUUCUGGAACAGUACUGACGCUGAGGCGCGAAAGCGUGGGGAGCAAACAGGAUUAGAUACCCGAGUAGUC
rnacentral:rRNA from 1 species